GACGAACGCUGGCGGCGUGCUUAACACAUGCAAGUCGAACGGUGAACCCCAGCUUGCUGGGGGGAUCAGUGGCGAACGGGUGAGUAACACGUGAGUAACCUGCCCCUGACUCUGGGAUAAGCCUUGGAAACGAGGUCUAAUACCGGAUACGUGCCGCUCGGGCAUCCGAUGCGGUUGGAAAGAUUUAUCGGUCAGGGAUGGACUCGCGGCCUAUCAGCUUGUUGGUGGGGUAACGGCCCACCAAGGCGACGACGGGUAGCCGGCCUGAGAGGGCGACCGGCCACACUGGGACUGAGACACGGCCCAGACUCCUACGGGAGGCAGCAGUGGGGAAUAUUGCACAAUGGGCGCAAGCCUGAUGCAGCGACGCCGCGUGAGGGAUGAAGGCCUUCGGGUUGUAAACCUCUUUCAGCAGGGAAGAAGCGCAAGUGACGGUACCUGCAGAAGAAGCGCCGGCUAACUACGUGCCAGCAGCCGCGGUAAUACGUAGGGCGCAAGCGUUGUCCGGAAUUAUUGGGCGUAAAGAGCUCGUAGGCGGUUUGUCGCGUCUGCUGUGAAAACUCGAGGCUCAACCUCGGGCUUGCAGUGGGUACGGGCAGACUAGAGUGCGGUAGGGGAGACUGGAAUUCCUGGUGUAGCGGUGGAAUGCGCAGAUAUCAGGAGGAACACCGAUGGCGAAGGCAGGUCUCUGGGCCGCAACUGACGCUGAGGAGCGAAAGCAUGGGGAGCGAACAGGAUUAGAUACCCUGGUAGUCCAUGCCGUAAACGUUGGGCACUAGGUGUGGGGCUCAUUCCACGAGUUCCGUGCCGCAGCAAACGCAUUAAGUGCCCCGCCUGGGGAGUACGGCCGCAAGGCUAAAACUCAAAGAAAUUGACGGGGGCCCGCACAAGCGGCGGAGCAUGCGGAUUAAUUCGAUGCAACGCGAAGAACCUUACCAAGGCUUGACAUACACCGGAAACUUCCAGAGAUGGUUGCCCCGCAAGGUCGGUGUACAGGUGGUGCAUGGUUGUCGUCAGCUCGUGUCGUGAGAUGUUGGGUUAAGUCCCGCAACGAGCGCAACCCUCGUCCUAUGUUGCCAGCACGUGAUGGUGGGGACUCAUAGGAGACUGCCGGGGUCAACUCGGAGGAAGGUGGGGAUGACGUCAAAUCAUCAUGCCCCUUAUGUCUUGGGCUUCACGCAUGCUACAAUGGCCGGUACAAAGGGCUGCGAUACCGCGAGGUGGAGCGAAUCCCAAAAAGCCGGUCUCAGUUCGGAUUGGGGUCUGCAACUCGACCCCAUGAAGUCGGAGUCGCUAGUAAUCGCAGAUCAGCAACGCUGCGGUGAAUACGUUCCCGGGCCU
rnacentral:rRNA from 1 species